GCGCUGCUUUGGAAGCACAUAGACUACAAUUGGAACGUUGCAGAGAAAAUUAGCAUGGCCCCUGCGGCAGGAUGACAUGCAAAUUUGUGAAGCGUUCCAUAUUUUA